CCUACGGGAGGCAGCAGUGGGGGAUUUUCGGCAAUGGGCGAAAGCCUGACCGAGCGACGCCGCGUGAGCGAAGAAGGCCUUCGGGUCGUAAAGCUCUGUCUAGGGGGAAGAGAAAGGACGGUACCUCUGGAGGAAGCCACGGCUAACUACGUGCCAGCAGCCGCGGUAAUACGUAGGUGGCGAGCGUUGUCCGGAAUUACUGGGCGUAAAGGGCGCGCAGGCGGCGCGUUAAGUCCGGGGUGAAAUCCAUCGGCUCAACCGGUGGGGGACCUUGGAUACUGGCGCACUGGAGUGCGGGAGAGGGAAGCGGAAUUCCACGUGUAACGGUGAAAUGUAUAGAUAUGUGGAGGAACACCGGUGGCGAAGGCGGCUUCCUGGACCGUAACUGACGCUGAGGCGCGAAAGCUGGGGGAGCGAACAGGAUUAGAUACCCGUGUAGUC
rnacentral:rRNA from 1 species